GGGUCCCCAUGACGUUCAGCACUAGGUGCUGACAACUUGUGAGGACACUGUGCCCCCUGGACGGUUGACACCAGGAGUCUGAGGGCUCC